rnacentral:rRNA from 1 species
UACGGAGGGGGCGAGCGUUGUUCGGAAUCACUGGGCGUAAAGCGUACGUAGGCGGCUAUGCAAGUCAGGAGUGAAAUCCCAGGGCUUAACCCUGGAACUGCUUUUGAAACUGCAUAGCUGGAGUCCCGGAGGGGUUGGCGGAAUUCCGAGUGUAGAGGUGAAAUUCGCAGAUAUUCGGAGGAACAUCAGUGGCGAAGGCGGCCAACUGGACGGGUACUGACGCUGAGGUACGAAAGCGUGGGGAGCAAACAGG